CGCAAGCUUCUCUGUUUUCAAUAUUUUUGAAAUGGCUGCUGAGCAAGACAGAGGGAGAGCAGAGGAUGUUAUCUUCAUAGCAAACAUGCUUCUUGCUCAAAUCAAGGGAAAGGAACCCAAGGGCAAAGCAACAGCCAUUAAAGGGAGUACAUUUAAUGUCCGAUAGGUGGAGAAAAUGCUGAAGGACGUCCACUACUAAAAAGAAGCAGAAGUGAAGAGAUACAAAGCUUCAGCUACAGUCUGUUUAUUGCCUACAGUGAGACCUCCACAUUUCUGCACUUGUGAUCAUGCAAACAUCCAGUGUAGAGCACUUCACCUGCCCGGCAUGUACACCCAACAAUGCUCGCUCUUUGUGCAGAUGGCAACAGAAAAACCUACAGAUUCCGUCAGUCAAAAGAAAGGAGCUUCAAGCAGCCACAAACGGAGAGUUCUUUUGAACAGAUAUUGCUUGCAAGUAUUGGCCAUACCUUGAGAAGGUGUCAGUCUCCAUGUUGGAACUCAGACCUUUACUGCAGAUGAGACCUUUCCUUUCUGUCAUGCAUGCCAAGGCUCAUUCAACCAAGUGUCAGGUGUCACACAUUUGUUAGAUAAUCUGACAAAAAUCAGGAAGGUGCUGGUACAACUGCAGUUGUGGAGGUCGAAAUGGUCAACAGCAACCUGUCUCGUUGUGGCCUCACAACCAAGUAUCUG